GCUCCCAUGGCGUAGUGGUCACUGCACUCGCCUUGCACGCGGGAGACCCGGGUUCGAUUCCCGGCGCGGUCA
rfam:Asian citrus Psyllid, Diaphorina citri - Florida Strain, whole genome shotgun sequence.